rnacentral:rRNA from 1 species
AUGGACGAAAGUCUGACCGAGCAACGCCGCGUGAGUGAAGAAGGUUUUCGGAUCGUAAAGCUCUGUUGUAAGUCAAGAACGUGUGUGAGAGUGGAAAGUUCACACAGUGACGGUAGCUUACCAGAAAGGGACGGCUAACUACGUGCCAGCAGCCGCGGUAAUACGUAGGUCCCGAGCGUUGUCCGGAUUUAUUGGGCGUAAGGGGAGCACAGGCGGUCAGGAAAGUCUGGAGUAAAAGGCUAUGGCUCAACCAUAGUGUGCUCUGGAAACUGUCUGACUUGAGUGCAGAAGGGGAGAGUGGAAUUCCAUGUGUAGCGGUGAAAUGCGUAGAUAUAUGGAGGAACACCAGUGGCGAAAGCGGCUCUCUGGUCUGUCACUGACGCUGAGGCUCGAAAGCGUGGGUAGCGAACAGGAUUAGAUACCCUGGUAGUCCACGCCGUAAACGAUGAGUGCUAGGUGUUAGGCCCUUUCCGGGGCUUAGUGCCGGAGCUAACGCAAUAAGCACUCCGCCUGGGGAGUACGACCGCAAGGUUGAAACUCAAAGGAAUUGACGGGGGCCCGCACAAGCGGUGGAGCAUGUGGUUUAAUUCGAAGCAACGCGAAGAACCUUACCAGGUCUUAACAUCCCGAUGCUAUUCUUAGAGAUAGGAAGUUACUUCGGUACAUCGGAGACAGGUGGUGCAU